rnacentral:rRNA from 1 species
UACGUAGGGGGCAAGCGUUGUCCGGAUUCAUUGGGCGUAAAGAGCGUGUAGGCGGCCAGGUAGGUCCGUUGUGAAAACUCGAGGCUCAACCUCGAGACGUCGAUGGAAACCAUCUGGCUAGAGUCCGGAAGAGGAGAGUGGAAUUCCUGGUGUAGCGGUGAAAUGCGCAGAUAUCAGGAAGAACACCUAUGGCGAAGGCAGCUCUCUGGGACGGUACUGACGCUGAGACGCGAAAGCGUGGGGAGCGAACAGGAUUAGAAACCCCCGUAGUCC